AUACUAACCUGGCAGGGGAGAUACCAUGGUCAUGAAGGUGUUUUUCCCAGGGCGAGGCUUAUCCAUUGCACUCCACAUGUGCUGACCCCUGCGAUUUCCCCAAAUGUGGGAAACUCGACUGCAUAGUUUGUGGUAGUGGGGGACUGCAUUCCCGCUCUCCCCUG
ensembl:snRNA U1 U1 spliceosomal RNA